GCUCGCUUAGCUCAGUUGGUUAGAGCGUCGUACUAAUAAUGCGAAGGUCGCCAGUUCGACCCUGGUAGUGAGCA
rfam:Gaeumannomyces graminis var. tritici R3-111a-1 unplaced genomic scaffold supercont2.183, whole genome shotgun sequence.